rnacentral:lncRNA from 1 species
AUUAACUCAUUUUGACUUAAUUUAACAUGCUUAACACACUAAAACUAUGUUAACAUGCUAAAAAAUCUAAUGCUAAUAUGCUAAAAAUGCAUUAACACGUUUUAAUCUACUAUGCAGAAAACAUUUGAUAUGCUUCAAAUCAAAUUAAUGUGCUCAAUAUUGCUAAAAUAAACACUUAAUGUCACGUUAAUUUGCUUAAAUUUGUGUUAACAUACUAGACAUAUAUUAAAUCGUUUACGUCUAAUGUUCGACAUGCUAAAGGCGUAUUACUAGACAUAUAUUAAAUCGUUUACGUCUAAUGUUCGACAUGCUAAAGACAUGUUAAUACGCCAGAAUUGAAUCAAAUUCAUUAAUAAACAGUUUAAGCGUCACAUGCGGUAAUAAAACCUAAAUUUGUGUGCUUAGAUGAUCCACGUAACACUUAUUACACAUAAACCUAAGUUGUGCCCACCUAUCAAUUCAUAGAGAACGUAAAUUUUCGCCCCCGAAGCCAGUAGCGGAGCCAGAUUUUUGGUUAAGGAUGUUCAUAUUUUCCCUUGGGCAAAGAACUGUUUAAAAAACAAAGAAAAUAAAGCACUGUUGCACCUGCCAAGGUUCAAACCCGAAUUGUUGAUGCGGAAAUGCACACUCUUGACCACUGAACUAUGCUUCUCUAGCUUGUCAAGGGUCUGCAACAACAUGUAUAUAACCAUAAAUAUCUAUAUUUAACUUAUAUACUCGGAAAAAAAAUCCGACGAAGGGUGUUCAUCUGACCACCUUUCGUUGGCUGUGGCUCGCCACUGCCCGAAGCAGUCCCCAACAUUUAUCAUUACAACGAUAGGAAUAAUGUUUUUACAAUAAUAUUGCAAACCAAAUAAAAAAAAAAAAGAGGAAAGAAAAACAACUAGCUAUAAAAAAAUACAUAGUUAGUUUAAACAUCCCAACGACUCUUCGAAAUCUCAUAAGUGUUAUUUAAAUCUGUGAAAAAAUACAUAAUAGCAAACAAACAGGAACAAACAUCGAAAUAUUCCUAUAGACAUAUUCCUAACAUGACGCAGUCAGCACGCACAGAGAAUAAAAUAAUUGCAUCAAUUCAAGAACUUACCGGUGAACAACAGUAAAAUAGAUAAUAAGAACAAUAAAGCCAACCGCUUGUAACAAUGAAAUAUGCAAGAUGUUUUUCAGUAAACCACGAAGGAAAAUCGAGAACAUUCAAAAUAUAUACGUUGCCUCCAAUUAAAAAUAGUCAGUAAUUCUUUUGUUUGUUUUAGAAUAGUGAUAAUUGUAAAAUGAAGUCCGUCCCUUAAUGAAAAGGGAGUGAGUUUAUAUAGUAAGAGGGUUGUAAGUUAAGGUCCAAUUAGCCAACCCGAAAUAGGAAAAGCAAUAUGUAAAAAUCAAUCUCAAUUAAUCAAGGAGAACAAAAGGGAAUUAUAUUAAGUUAAUUAGAGGGUAAAGGAGAAGGAAUGCUUUUAAAUCGAUUAGAAUCAAUUAAGGGGCAAUAAAUCAACUAAUCAUUCCCAAAUCAAUCCAACAAUAAAGGAAAGCAUGUGUUUAAAAAAAUUAUUUUUCUUAGUUAAGUAAGUGAAAUCAAUUAAAAGCAAAUUUAUCAUAAAUAGAAGAGUAAGUAAAAAAUACUAAUUUAAAAGAGAAUAAAUAAUGACAAAAGCACGUUUUAACAUCAGUAUUUACCAUAUAUAUUUCAAAUUAAUUGACAAACCAUAAGGCAAUUAGUCACGCUAAUCAAACUAAGUCAAUUCCAUCAAUACACCGGAUCAAUUGUCAAUUAGAAAUAAACAUAAUCAAUAUUUUGCCAUAAACGCCGACUCACAAAAUUCAAGUAAUAACAUCUUUCAAAAACAAACAGAAGUCAGUACUCAAAUUUGUCAUUUACCUUAUAUAUCAGGUGGUGAAAGAGGAAUCAGAUAUGCAAAGUUCAUCUAAGAUCAUUCCAACGAUUGUGGACGCUCAAUAAAAAUACCAACAAUAGCUAAGCAUGAAAAAUAAUCAGUUCAUGAAUCAAUGCUCAAAUCAUAAUUUCAGGUCAACAAGAUCAUACCAAUAUGGGCUUCUACAUAUCUCAAAAAUACGACAAUAAAACACGAAAUUAGAGCAAAGAUCGAUAACUUCAAGAAGAGUGUAGAGCAUGCGUUAUUUAACAAACAUUGGUAGACAAGACACAGUGCUCGAAGCACACAUCACCAAUUUUAAUUUUAGGCAAGAAAUUAAUCACGUAAACAAAUUCGGGAUGAGUUCUAAAACCCAUCGAUUUUUUAGAUCUGGGCACGGAGAUGGGGGCGGACGGCGGCUGCUGGCGGCGGUUCUUGGUUGCUGACUGAAUCUGGAUGCGAAAAUGGAGGAAAAUGGAGGGAGGCUGGUUUGAUCUUGCCGGUGGCGCUGGUGAAGCGGCUGCUGUCCGGCGCCGUUGGAAUCAGUGGCGCGCCGGAGAUGGUCGGUCGGAUGCAUGGCGGUGGUGGCUGUUGUCACCGGCGGGAAGGGAUAACGGAGAUGACGACGUUGUUGCUGCCGUCGUUGGUGGAGGUGCCAUGGCUGGUGCGGCCGCGGCGCUGGUCGGGGGUGGUUCGUGAUGGCGGCGCCGACAAGGGGAGGGCGACGGAGGAGAGGGACGACCGACGAUGGGGGAGGCGGCGUUGAUGGUUUUGUCGUCGGGUUUUAGAGAGAGGAGAGAGGGGUGUUGGAGGCUGCUGUUGGUUGGAAAAAAAAAUUAGGGUUAGAUUUUUGAUUGGUUCUAAAUGGAAAGGAGGCGGAUCAAAUCUCAGUCGUUAGAUCAAUUUUGAUCAACGGUUGGGAUUUAAGAAUAUGUGGAGUUAGAAUAUGGCUAAAAUUGUAAGGGAUUAGGCUAAAAUUGUUAUAGAUUGAAUAAAUAGAGGCUAGAUUUUAAAUAAAUUAGGCAACAUUA